GACGAACGCUGGCGGCGUGCUUAACACAUGCAAGUCGAACGGAAAGGCCCUGCUUUUGUGGGGUGCUCGAGUGGCGAACGUGUGAGUAACACGUGAGUAACCUGCCCUUGACUUUGGUAUAACUUCAGGAAACUGGGGCUAAUACCGGAUAGGAGCUCCUGCUGCAUGGUGGGGGUUGGAAAGUUUCGGCGGUUGGGGAUGGACUCGCGGCUUAUCAGCUUGUUGGUGGGGUAGUGGCUUACCAAGGCUUUGACGGGUAGCCGGCCUGAGAGGGUGACCGGCCACAUUGGGACUGAGAUACGGCCCAGACUCCUAAGGGAGGCAGCAGUGGGGAAUAUUGCACAAUGGGCGGAAGCCUGAUGCAGCAACGCCGCGUGCGGGAUGACGGCCUUUGGGUUGUAAACCGCUUUCGCCUGUGACGAAGCGUGAGUGACGGUAAUGGGUAAAGAAGCACCGGCUAACUACGUG
rnacentral:rRNA from 1 species